UCAAGGCAACAGCUACCUCACAGUUAUCUCAGCACUGCUUAAAGAAUUAUUUUUCUAGUCAAUCUACCAAGUGUCCUAACUGGCACCUAAAAACCAUUAAAUUCCAUGGAAACACUAAAAAGCAUAAGCAAAUUUUAAAUUAGCUAUUGGUGGAUAAUAAUCCUUCAAGAAGCUAAAAUGCCAUGGAAAUAUGUUACCUUGUGAGAUGGAACCACAAAUUAUUUAUAAGUAAAUUUUAGGCCCAUGUCUAUUAACCAGAGAGAGACCUACAUAUUCAUAGAGGGGUGUCUGCAUAUUCCUGGAAACUUAAAUAACUCAAAAAAGACAUUCUAACUAGAAUGCUCAUCAUCUGCAAAGAGCAGCUGGGAAACCACAGACCAACACCCAAGAAACAAAACAGUCCUGUUCCACAAGCUGCUCAAACACAGUUUCUGCUCUAUUCAUGCGCAAGACAAGAGCUUUGCAGGACGAAUCAUUCUGGAGCUUGCAGGACUCCACCUCUGUGUAUCAACUCCUGCUGCCAGAGAACUGGGCCUCACACAGAGAUCUAGGUCCUGGGCCAACCAACGGUGGACUCAUUACACCACUAAUGAAGCUAUAGCUAUUUUCCCACCUGA